GUUUAAUUUAUCAAAUGUAAAAAAUAAAUAAAUAAAUAAUUUAACAAACCGACAACUUCUCUCCCGGCUUGAAAAUAAAAGACAAACACAAAUAAAAUUCAACCUUUUUCCUACUACAUCUAGACUUAUACAUAUACACAUAUGUAUGUAUGUAUGGAACACGGCUCCUUUAUUUACGAGCAUUUUUAUUCAUUCGUUCUUUCUUUCUUUCUUUUACAGGGAAAUAAGUCGAGUGUAGAUGACAAUGUUUGAACAUAGUUCCCCUGAUCUAGGUACAUGCAUUUUGAUCUUCAAUUUGAGCUAUCUCAUUGCGUAACUUCCGAGAUGCAAAAAUAUAAAUUUCGUUUACAGUCACACAUAUGGGAUGAUCUCUGUUGAUUCGGCAACAGUGGUUAGAGAUCUAACAGCUUAACAGUUGUGGUAUCUGUUGUCUUCGGUUUAAACCACAGCCACCACGUUCACCCCGAAUGACCUCUCCAAUAACCGUGACAAGACAAAGUGCAAAAACCUGAACGGGGGAGCUACUGGUCUCUUUUUUUCAACCCAGGUCAAAUUAUUUCAAGAAAAGACCAAUUAUACAUUUGACAAUGCCAGUCGGUAGAGUAGAAAUACAGUAAACACCUCUUUUCCUCCGCACUGCAAUCGAACAUUAUAGGGGAAGUUUAUCAAUGUAAAAUGCAACUGGAGGAGAGCAAUUUAUAUUCUGUUAAACCACAACCCCAUUAUAUUCUGUUGAAUUAGCAACUACUUAGCCUAUUUCUGGAAAUUAACCUUCUAUGACCGUUUAAUCAGAUGUGAAAGCUUCAAACGUUGCGUCAUUAGUUAUUUAAUUGUGCUCCCUUUAUGUUAUUUUAGGAAUGAAAUUUAACUUAAAUGCUGGAAACUACCAGGUUCACUCAAACACUCAUUCUUUGUAAUACAGAACAAUUGUCUCCAAAGUAAUACGGUGAGGCAGAUAAUCAUCAGAUUAAUAUAACCAAACCCAAAUUAGAUGCCUACCACAUCUGAAAUUCGCUUUUUUCUUAACUGUCAUAAUUAGUCUAACCCAAAGUCAAUUAUACUUUUUUUAUCGAAGAGAUAUAUACACAUUUUUUUCUCCAAAGAAUCCUUUGAAUUAAAUAAAACACUUUUAGUUUUCAUUGAAUUUUUAAGAAAGUAUUCUAAAAUUAUUUCUAUUUUAGCUAAGGUUAGGUUGAUAGGAUGAUGUAUACUAAAUCAAACCAAAAGUGAGAAAUGCUUUGUCCUUAAUAUCACUUCCAAGAUACUUUGAUCUAACUUCGGCGAAUACCUCACAGUCGCAGAGUUUCACUGUCCUGCUCUACAUUCGUCUGAUUUCGCACAUCCAAUUUUGUAUAGCUGUUCCAGUAAACCUUUGUGUUCACCGAGAAUACGUACAUAUGUACCAUUAUACUAACAUAAGAC